rnacentral:rRNA from 1 species
AGUGAACGCUGGCGGUAGGCCUAACACAUGCAAGUCGAACGGCAGCACAGUAAGAUCUUGCUCUUACGGGUGGCGAGUGGCGGACGGGUGAGGCAUACAUCGGAAUCUACUUUUUCGUGGGGGAUAACGUAGGGAAACUUACGCUAAUACCGCAUACGACCUACGGGUGAAAGCAGGGGAUCUUCGGACCUUGCGCGAUUGAAUGAGCCGAUGUCGGAUUAGCUAGUUGGCGGGGUAAAGGCCCACCAAGGCGACGAUCCGUAGCUGGUCUGAGAGGAUGAUCAGCCACACUGGAACUGAGACACGGUCCAGACUCCUACGGGAGGCAGCAGUGGGGAAUAUUGGACAAUGGGCGCAAGCCUGAUCCAGCCAUACCGCGUGGGUGAAGAAGGCCUUCGGGUUGUAAAGCCCUUUUGUUGGGAAAGAAAAGCAGCAGGUUAAUACCCCGCUGUUCUGACGGUACCCAAAGAAUAAGCACCGGCUAACUUCGUG